rnacentral:lncRNA from 1 species
GCCUCCUCCCAGGUACUGGUCAAUGAAGGAGAAGGUGGGAGGAUAAGGAGGCAAGAGGAGGUGGGAAGGGAAAAGGGCAGGGGCAAACAGGUGCGGGGUCCCUGCAUUCUCAGCCCUGUCUACCUGCAGCAUGCCGGCUUGCUGGUGCUGGAACUCAGUGCUGAGGCCUUCACCCUAGGGGGAGUGCUGGUCUCAGUGCACGCCCUAUUCUUGCUGAGCCAGAGGAAACCAGGAUGCUGCAGGAGCCAGAGUCUGCACUAUCAAGAGCUGCAGGAGGGCUUCUCUGAGUUGGAAGAGGUUCCUGGUUUGGAGAAUGGUCCCACGGUGGCCAGCACAGGAGCAAAUGAGAGGGCGGGACAGCGGGAACAGACACGUGCUGCUCUCCUUCCACCCUGAGAGAAUGCUCUCCAGACAUUCCUGCAUCCCACCCCACCAAACUCAGAAGCUUGCUGGGAUCCUUCGAGUCCAAUAGGAAGUCCGGGAGUGCCUUCAGUUUUCACUCAGAGCAGGCCCUUUUUUCGUUCCUUCCCUGUUAGGGGAAGAUACACCUGGACGAGAAUAUAUUCUCACCUCACCACCCUGAAAAGCUGCUUUCUCCCUUCCAUCCAUAUCCUCUCUUCCUGUCACCUCCCCAUACAGCUUCACAUUUGCCUCAUCGCACUUUUCUUUUCUGUCCACCUUUCAUAAUCCCAUCCACUCCAAAUCCCGGACCCUGCACACGCCAACUCCCUGAAUCCAAUUCAGGAGUGCCCCAGUUCCCCUUUCGAUCCAUCUCCUUUCUACUGUAGCGGAGACUACAAGUCCCAGGAUGCCCCGCUAGCCCGUGACCGGCUAGGAAAUAAAGAGCCUUC